rnacentral:rRNA from 1 species
CAGCAGCCGCGGUAAUACGUAGGUCCCGAGCGUUGUCCGGAUUUAUUGGGCGUAAAGCGAGCGCAGGCGGUUAGAUAAGUCUGAAGUUAAAGGCUGUGGCUUAACCAUAGUACGCUUUGGAAACUGUUUAACUUGAGUGCAAGAGGGGAGAGUGGAAUUCCAUGUGUAGCGGUGAAAUGCGUAGAUAUAUGGAGGAACACCGGUGGCGAAAGCGGUUCUCUGGCUUGUAACUGACGCUGAGGCUCGAAAGCGUGGGGAGCAAACAGGAUUAGAUACCCGCGUAGUCCCUGUCUCUUAUACA